UGGGGAAUAUUGGACAAUGGGGGCAACCCUGAUCCAGCCAUGCCGCGUGAGUGAAGAAGGCCUUCGGGUUGUAAAGCUCUUUCGACGGGGACGAUGAUGACGGUACCCGUAUAAGAAGCCCCGGCUAACUUCGUGCCAGCAGCCGCGGUAAUACGAAGGGGGCUAGCGUUGUUCGGAAUUACUGGGCGUAAAGCGCGCGUAGGCGGUGUUCCAUGUCAGAGGUGAAAUCCCGGAGCUCAACUUCGGAAUUGCCUUUGAAACGGGAACACUUGAGUCCGAGAGAGGAUGGCGGAAUUCCUAGUGUAGAGGUGAAAUUCGUAGAUAUUAGGAAGAACACCGGUGGCGAAGGCGGCCAUCUGGCUCGGUACUGACGCUCAGGCGCGAAAGCGUGGGGAGCAAACAGGAUUAGAUACCCCCGUAGUCC
rnacentral:rRNA from 1 species